CCUACGGGUGGCAGCAGUGGGGAAUAUUGCGCAAUGGGCGAAAGCCUGACGCAGCGACGCCGCGUGAGGGAUGAAAGUCUUCGGAUCUUAAACCUCUUUCAGCAGGGAAGAACGGUCACUGUGCUAAUCAGCAGUGAAUUGACGGUACCUGCAAAGGAAGCACCGGCUAACUACGUGCCAGCAGCCGCGGUAAUACGUAGGUGGCUAGCGUUAUCCGGAAUGAUUGGGCGGAAAGGUUGCGCAGGCGGUCCUGCAAGUCUGGAGUGAAACGCAUGAGAUCAACUCAUGCAUGGCGUUGGAAACUGGAGGACUGGAGAGCAGGAGAGGGAGGUGGAACUGAAUGUGUAGCGGUAAAAUGCGUAGAUAUAUGGAAGAACACCAGUGGCGAAGGCGGCCGACUGGCCUGUUGCUGACGCUGAGGCACGAAAGCGUGGGGAGCAAAUAGGAUUAGAUACCCUUGUAGUC
rnacentral:rRNA from 1 species